CAGAGGGUGCAAGCGUUGUUCGGAAUUAUUGGGCGUAAAGCGCGUGUAGGCGGCUUUGCAAGUCGGGUGUGAAAGCCCUCAGCUUAACUGAGGAAGUGCGCCCGAAACUGCAUGGCUUGAGUGCCGGAGAGGAUGGCGGAAUUCCCGAAGUAGAGGUGAAAUUCGUAGAUAUCGGGAGGAACACCGGUGGCGAAGGCGGCCAUCUGGACGGCAACUGACGCUGAGACGCGAAAGCGUGGGUAGCAAACAGGAUUAGAUACCCUGGUAGUCCACGCCGUAAACGAUGAGAACCAGGUGUCGUGGGUGUUGACCCCUGCGGUGCCGUAGCUAACGCAUUAAGUUCUCCGCCUGGGAGUACGGUCGCAAGACUAA
rnacentral:rRNA from 1 species